UGCCCCGUCGUCUAACGGCAAGACUACGGACUCUGACUCCGUCAAUUGAGGUUCGAAUCCUCACGGGGCAUCCA
rnacentral:tRNA from 5 species